rnacentral:lncRNA from 1 species
UUCCUCUCACCAAAAUGCACUUUAUUGCGUGUGGCUGCUGUUCUGGGCUGUUAUCCCGUUGAAGAACAGCUCUGCAGCUCCAGGGAGAGGGACAAAGGGACCUGCAGAGUGACCCACACAGAGGUGACCCCACAGUGCUAACCCCAUGGGUUAGUCCUUCUCCUCUCCGUGUGUGAUGACGUGGACGAGGUUUUUGUAGUCGAGGUUGCCGGAGACGUCUGGAGGGAAGGCAGCAAACAUCUGAUCGAUCUCCUCCUGGGAAAACCUCUCGCCCUGCGUCAUCAGCAUUUCUUUGAUGUAGGCAGAUUUCAGCCCUUUGCCCUCCGGAUCAAACACCUUGAACGCGUUCAGGAUCGUCUCCUCUGGAUCAGCACCCUUGAGUUUCUCCCCAAACAUGGUGAGGAACACAGUGAAGUUGAUUGGGCCAGGUGCCUCCUUGAUCAUCUCAUCGAUCUCCUCGUUUUUCACAUUCAGGCGCCCGAGUGCAGCAAAUGUAUCUCUCAGGUCUGCCUUGUCGAUGAAGCCGUCUCGGUUCUGAUCCAUGAUGGUGAACGCCUCUUUGAAUUCCUGGAUCUGGGCCUGCUCGAACAUGGAGAAGACAUUGGAAUUCGCACCUUCAAUCCUCUUCUUGGCUUUCUUGGGUGCCAUGGCUUCGCAGAGGUGCUGGUGGUGCUGCAGGAGGGAUCUC